rnacentral:sRNA from 1 species
CAUCUCAGGUCCGGAGUUAGAGGGUUAUCUGAUCAUCCCUUCGGGGAAUUUCCCUCUGGCACAAACUUGACCGGGAU